AUGUAAGGUGGCUGAAUAGAAAACAGCUAAACAAAGCUGUAUAUAUCCUCAAUUAACUUGGAAUACGCACUAUUUUCUAAGGCUUGUUGACGCAUCUUGUCAUAUUUUUGAACACUUCGGUAGAAAUCUAAAAUAAAGUUAAUACUUUGCAGAUAAACAGUAAAAAAUGUAAACAAUGAUAGGAUUCCUUCAUGUUCGUUAAUAAUACCUUCUAAAAUCCUUCCUGAAAUUAAACACCAUAGUUCGUCUUUACUUUUCUUAGCUAGUUCUAAAGCGGAAAUUGCCAUUUUUUCAGCGUGUUCUAGUUUACCAAACCUCUCGGAUAAUUCCGUCAAGGAGAUAUAUUGUAAUUGGGUAUUUGCAUAUUCAGAAGAUUGCUGAAUAACUCGUGGCAAAACGUUACUUUGAUGCACUUGGGGACCUUCUCGAAUAACUUUUAGGACUAACAACCAUAGUUUAAAUAUUUUCUUUUCAUGUUUGUUACAUAACGGUUCAAUCGACUCUAAGCAUCUACUGGCGGCAGCACUGUCUUCUAAAAUAUUGAUCAAAUUGAGGGUAGAUAUGAUAAAUGUGUCUGUCCGAAAAGAAAAAUUUUUAGCAGUUUCUCUGUAAUGAACUUCAGCCUUUUUUAAAUCUCCUCUUUUUUGCAGAUACAUCCCUUUCAAAAUACCAAGAAAGCCAGUUUGAUCAUCUUCAGUAGACUGUAAAAUCCUUUCGGCCUUAGAUAAACGGGAUCUGCUCAAGUAUGUAGCAAUAAGGUAAUACUUCAUGUCUUUCGUAAUAUUAUUGAUCCAUUUCUGAGAUUCUAAAUACUCUAGCACACACCGUUCUUGAUGUUUAAAGUCUCCGGUAAUCCGCAGUCCUUCCUGAAGAAAACGGCUAGCUCUCCCUGAUGUGCUAUCCGAGAUGUAACAAAAUCCAGAAAUCAGAUAUAUUAACAAAUAUAGUUGAUUUAUACUCAUCCAUUUGAUGGAUAUUUUGCUAGUAUCAUCAAUGAAAAAAUCAAUAUAGGAAGAAGGCCAAACGAAUGUCUCUGAUUCUAACUUAGAAUGGAUUUUGGGAAGUAUUUCUCGAGCGAGCAAAAUCUCACCUUUACGCAAGCACUGUGCAAUUUGAGUUACCAAACAAAGAAUGGAAAUUUGAUCAGAGUCUGUAGAGAUCUCAUCCAUUGGCAAUGACUGAUUCAAUAUCAUUGCUAAUAACUGAAGAUGUUGGUGUUUAUGAUGAUUUGCAUAAUUAUGUAUACUAUUUGCAACUUGAGAUACAUUUUGAAAUUCGAGUGUUGCUAGUAAGAAUUCAUAGACCCAUCGAUGAGGAUUAGAUUGAUUGUUAGAGUGGUAUAUUUCUGCAACUUUUGCAUAUUCUUCUGCCUCCCGUACACACCUAGUUAAGAGAACCUUAGCAGCCUUUGGAGAAGUUCUACAAAAAACACGACU